GGAGAAGUGUCUGAGUGGCCGAAGGAGCACGGUUGGAAACCGUGUGUAGCGUAAGCUACCGAGGGUUCGAAUCCCUCCUUCUCCG
rnacentral:tRNA from 1 species